rnacentral:lncRNA from 1 species
UCGAGUGGAUAGAAACAGCACACGUAAGAUCGGGUGUGCACGAGGAGAUGCGAACACCGGGAACAGUCGAGUGGGUAGAAACAGCACACGUAAGAUCGGGUGUGCACGAGGAGAUGUGAACACCGGGAACAGUCGAGUGGGUAGAAACAGCACACGUAAGGUCGGGUGUGCACGAGGAGAUGUGAACACUGGGAACAGUCGCGUGGGUAGAAACAGCACACGUAAGAUCGGGUGUGCACGAGGAGAUGUGAACACCGGGAACAGUCG